rnacentral:sRNA from 1 species
AUUUCCGGCGUUUGGGCGGGGCGCGGGCAGGGCGCGCUGCCCGGAGCUGCCUGGGUUGCGCUGCCGGCCACGUCCCCGCGCCGGGCCUCAGGCUCCUUCCUACUGUCCGAGGGCCACCAGGCCGCCGGGGGCCUGCUGCGCCCGGAUGCAUCUGUUACUAGAGUGGAGAGUCUACCUUCAUCUCACAUGUGCCACAAAGGAUGGCAUGGCCCAGGAGUGCCCCACCACGUGGCUUUCACCCCCUGCAAAGCCAGACUUCGCCCAGCGACACAGUGUCAAGCCCACAGCUCUCCAAGGAGGAAGAUGGUCCAGGCUGGGAGCAUGCCCUUAGCAGCAGCCUCUGCCAUGCGGCAUCCAACGAUCCACGUAAGUGAGAAAGCUGUGUGACUGCUGGAUGGGCCCACGGUGGCCACAAAGCAUGCUGAGCCCUUGAAAGCAGCAUCUGCAAACCCAGGCCAACGCGUCAGGAACCCCAGCCCUCCCAGGCAACUUUGUCCCUAACAAAAUGUGGAAGGGAUUAGUCAAGAGGAAUGCAUCUGUGGAAACAGUUGAUAAUAAAACGUCUGAGGAUGUAACCAUGGCAGCAGCUUCUCCUGUCACAUUGACCAAAGGGACUUCGGCAGCCCACCUCAACUCUAUGGAAGUCACAACAGAGGACACAAGCAGGACAGAUGUGAGUGAACCAGCAACUUCAGGAGGUGCAGCUGAUGGUGUGACCUCCAUUGCUCCCACGACUGUGGCCUCCAGUACGACUGCGGCCUCCAUUACGACUGCGGCCUCCAGUAUGACUGUGGCCUCCAGUGCUCCCAUGACUGCAGCCUCCAGUACAACUGUGGCCUCCAUUGCUCCCACGACUGCAGCCUCCAGCACUCCCAUGACACUUGCACCUCCCGCGCCCACGUCCACUUCCACAGGGCGGACCC